GAUGAAGAACGUAGUGAAAUGCGAUAAGUAAUGUGAAUUGCAGAAUUCAGUGAAUCAUCGAAUCUUUGAACGCACAUUGCGCCCCCUGGUAUUCCGGGGGGCAUGCCUGUCCGAGCGUCAUUACAACCCUCAAGCUCAGCUUGGUGUUGGGCCCCGCCGCCCCGGCGGGCCCUAAAGUCAGUGGCGGUGCCGUCCGGCUCCGAGCGUAGUAAUUCUUCUCGCUGUUGAGCUCCGGUGGUCGCCCGCCAGCAACCCCCAACUUUUACAGUUUGACCUGGGAUGAGGUAGGGAUACCCGCUGAACUUAAGCAUAUCAAUAAGCGGAGGA
rnacentral:misc_RNA from 1 species